rnacentral:rRNA from 1 species
UACGGGGGGGGCAAGCGUUGUUCGGAAUUACUGGGCGUAAAGGGCUCGUAGGCGGCCAACUAAGUCAGACGUGAAAUCCCUCGGCUUAACCGGGGAACUGCGUCUGAUACUGGAUGGCUUGAGUUUGGGAGAGGGAUGCGGAAUUCCAGGUGUAGCGGUGAAAUGCGUAGAUAUCUGGAGGAACACCGGUGGCGAAGGCGGCAUCCUGGAACAACACUGACGCUGAGGAGCGAAAGCCAGGGGAGCAAACGGG